AUUGAACGCUGGCGGCAGGCCUAACACAUGCAAGUCGAGCGAGCGGCGGACGGGUGAGUAAUGUAUGGGGACUGCCCGAUAGAGGGGGAUAACUACUGGAAACGGUAGCUCAUACCGCAUACUAUCGGAUAACCCAUAGGGGAUUAGCUAGUAGGUGAGGUAAUGGCUCACCUAGGCGACGAUCCCUAGCUGGUCUGAGAGGAUGAUCAGCCAAACGGGGAAUGAGACACGGCCCAGAAUCCUAUGGAGGGGGCAGUGGGGAAGAUUGAACAGUGGGUGCAAUCCAGAUGCAUGCAUGCCGCGUGGAGGAAGAAGGACAUAAGGUUGUAAAGUACUUUUAGUCGGGAGGCGUUACCGAUAGAAGAAGCACCGGCUAACUCCGUGCCAGCAGCCGCGGUAAUAC
rnacentral:rRNA from 1 species